GACUCCUACGGGAGGCAGCAGUAGGGAAUCUUCCACAAUGGACGAAAGUCUGAUGCAGCGACGCCGCGUGAGUGAGGAAGUAAUUCGUUAUGUAAAGCUCUAUCAGCAGGGAAGAAAAUGACGGUACCUGAGUAAGAAGCCCCGGCUAACUACGUGCCAGCAGCCGCGGUAAUACGUAGGGGGCAAGCGUUAUCCGGAUUUACUGGGUGUAAAGGGAGCGUAGACGGCAGUGCAAGUCUGGAGUGAAAGGCGGGGGCUCAACCCCCGGACUGCUCUGGAAACUGUACGGCUGGAGGGCAGGCGAG
rnacentral:rRNA from 1 species